GAUGAAGAACGUAGCGAAAUGCGAUACUUGGUGUGAAUUGCAGAAUCCCGCGAAUCAUCGAGUUUUUGAACGCAAGUUGCGCCCGAAGCCAUUCGGCCGAGGGCACGUCUGCCUGGGUGUCACGCAUCGUUGCCCCCCCAAACUCCGGUUCGGGCGGGGCGGAAGUUGGCCUCCCGUGCGUGCCUGCGCGCGCGGUUAGCCCAAAAGCGAGUCCUCGGCGAUGAGCGCCACGACAAUCGGUGGUUUUUUUACCCUCGUUCCUCGUCGUGCGUGCCCCGUCGCCCGAACGCGCUCUUGCAACCCUUACGCGUCGCCUCGGUGGCGCUCCCAACGCGACCCCAGGUCAGGCGGGACUACCCGCUGAGUUUAAGCAUAUCAUAAGCGGAGGA
rnacentral:misc_RNA from 1 species